CACGCCGCUCUAGCCCAACCUCCCAUCUCGGCUGCUUUUCUGCCCGCCAACGCGUUUUCUGAUUGGUGCGGGUGUGCGCCGUGCGUGAUGACGUCAAGAGGCGGCAGCGUUGCUAUAAGAUUGCGGCUGAGGCGCGUGAGCUCCUCUUUCUCAGUCACCGGGGGUUCGUGUGAGGCGCAGACGGAGAAGUGGGGCCAACAUGCCAGUGGCCCGGAGCUGGGUUUGUCGCAAAACGUAUGUGACCCCGCGGAGACCCUUCGAGAAAUCUCGCCUCGACCAAGAGUUGAAGCUGAUCGGCGAAUACGGGCUCCGGAACAAACGUGAGGUCUGGAGGGUCAAAUUUACCUUGGCCAAGAUCCGCAAGGCGGCCCGGGAGCUGCUGACGCUGGACGAGAAAGACCCGCGGCGUCUGUUUGAAGGCAAUGCCCUGCUGCGGCGACUCGUCCGCAUCGGGGUGCUGGAUGAGGGCAAGAUGAAGCUGGAUUACAUCCUGGGCCUGAAGAUCGAGGACUUCCUGGAGAGGCGCCUGCAGACCCAGGUCUUCAAGCUGGGCUUGGCCAAGUCCAUCCAUCAUGCCCGUGUGCUGAUCCGCCAGCGCCACAUCAGCCCUUGGAGGUGACAAAGAAAUGAGCUCACCUUGAGGGUGCAGACUGACCCCCUGCAAACAGCUCGUUGGGGGUUCUAGGGACAGCCUCAUCCCCCCCCCGUAGCCCAGCGCAAGGGUCACUGCGGCCUGAGCCGUACACCUUGUGAAGGCUUCUGCUGGGCACGCAGGCAGCUGGAGCUGGACAGGGUCCGAAAGCAGGUGGUGAACAUCCCGUCCUUCAUCGUCCGCCUGGACUCCCAGAAGCACAUUGACUUCUCCCUGCGCUCUCCCUACGGCGGCGGCCGCCCUGGCCGCGUGAAGAGGAAGAACGCCAAGAAGGGCCAGGGAGGGGCUGGAGCUGGUGACGACGAGGAGGA